ensembl:lncRNA
GGGAAAACUUCUCAUUUCUGAUCUUAGAAGAAAAGCUUUCACUUUCAUCACUGAAUGUAAUGUUAAGCUGUGGGCUUUUCAGAUACAGCUUUUGUUAUGUUGAAGUACUUUCCUCACAUUUUGAGGUUUCAGCGAGUUUUUAUUUUGAAAGGGUGUUAAUUUUGUUAAACGUUUUUUCUGCAUCUAUUGAGAUGAUCACAUGAGUUUUAUCCUUCAUUCUGUUAAUGUGCAGGAGUCUAUCCCAGAGUUACACUGCCUGGAGUUGGUGGAUAGGCAACACAGGUACUCCACUGGCUGCCACAACUGGUGUUGCAUUGGGUAACAACCAAAGUCCACUGUCUCUGAGGUUCUGGGGUACAUGUGCAGAUUAUGCAGGAUUGUUACAUAGGUACAUACGUGGCAAGGUGGUUUGCUGCCUUCCUCCACUCAUCACCUAUAUCAGGUAUUUCUCCCCACUUUUUACCUCCCCUAGUUUCCCCCAACUGACCGCAGUGUGUGGUGCUCCCCUUCCUGUUCACAUGUUCUAAUUGUUCAACACCCACCUAUGAGUGAUACCAUGCAGUGUUUGAUUUUCUGUUCUUGUGUCAGUUUGCUGAGAAUGAUGGUUUCCAGAUUCAUCCAUGUCCCUAUGACAGACAGGAACUCAUUGUUUUUUUAUGGCUGCUUAAUAUUCCAUGGUGUAUAUGUGCCACAUUUUCUUUAUCCAGUCUAUCAUUGAUGGACAUUUGGGUUGGUUCCCGGUCUUUACUAUUGUAAACAGUGCUGCAAUGAACCUAUGUAUGCAAGUGUCUUAUUAAUAGAAUAAUUUAUAAUUAUUUGUAAAUAUACCCAGUAAUGGGAUUACUGGGUCAAAUGGAAUUUCUAUUUCUAGGUCCUUGAGGAAUCGCCAGACUGUCUUCCACAAUGGUUGCACUAAUUUGCACUCCCACCAACAGGGUAAAAAUGUUCCUAUUUCUCCACAUCUAUUGUCUCCAAAUUAUUUAAUGAUUGCCAUUCUAAUUGACAUGAGGUGGUAUCUCAAUGUGGUUUUGAUUUGCAUUUCUCUAAUGACCAGCGAUGAUGAGUAUUUUUUCAUGUUUGUUGGCCUCAUGGAUGUCUUCUUUUGUAAAGUGUCUGUUAAUAUCCUUCACCCACUUUUGAAUGGCUUUGCUUUUUCCCGUAAAUCUGUUUUAGUUGUUUGUAGAUUCUGGAUAUUAGCCCUUUUUCAGAUGAGUAGAUUGCAAAAAUUUUUUCCCAUUCUAUUGGUUGCCAGUUCCCUUUAAUGAUUUUCCUUUGCUGUAUAGAAGCUCUGGACUUUAAUUAGAUCCCAUUUGUCUACUUUGGCUUUUGUUGCCAUUGCUGUUGGUGUUUUAGCUAUGAAGACCUUGCCUAUGUCUAUGUCCUGAAUGGUUUUGCCUAGAUUUUCUUCUAGGGUUUUUAUGGUGUUAGGUGUUAUGUUUAGAUCUUUAAUCCAUCUAGAGUUAAUUUUAGUGUAAGGUGUAAGGAAUGGGUCCAGUUUCUGUUUUCUGCACAUGGCUAGCCAGUUUUCCCAACACCAUUUAUUAAACAGGGAAUCCUUUCCCCAUUGCUUGUUUUUGUCUGGUUUGUCAAAUCAGAUGAUUGUAGAUGUGUGGUGUUGCUUCUGAGGCCUCUGAUCUGUUCCAUUGGUCUAUGUCUCUGUUUUGGUACCAGUACCAUGCUGUUUUGAUUACUAUGGCCUUGUAGUAUAGUUUGAAGGCAGGCAGCAUGAUGCCUCCAGCUUUGUUCUUUUUGCUUAGGAUUGUUUUUGAUAUGGGGGCUCUCUUUUGCUUCCAUAUGAAAUUUGAAGCGUUUUUUUUUUUUUUUUCCAGUUCUGUGAAUAAAGUCAUUGGAAGCUUGAUGGGAUAGCAUUGAAUUUAUAAAUUACAUUGGGCAGUAUGGCCAUUUUCACGAUGUUGAUUCUUCCCAACCAUGAGCAUGGAAUGUUGUUCCAUCUGUUUUUGUCCUCUCUUAUUUCCUUGAGCAGUGAUUUGUAGUUCUCCUUGAACAGGUCCUUUACAUCCUUUGUUAGUUGUAUUCCUUGGUAUUUUAUUCUAUUUGUAGCAAUAGUGAAUGCGAGUUCACUUUUGAUUUGGCUCUGUUUUUCUGUUAUUGGUGUAUAGAAAUGCUUGUGAAUUCUGCAGAUUGAUUUUGUAUCCUGAGACUUUGCUGAAUUUGUUUAUCAGUUUCAAGAGAUUUUGGGCUAAGACAAUGGGGUCUUCUAAAUAUACAAUCACAUCAUCUGCAAAUAGAGACAAUUUGGCUUCCUCUUCUCCUAAUUGAAUAUCCUUUAUUUCUUUUCCUUGCCUGAUUGCUCGGGCUGGAACUUCCAGUACUAUAUUGAAUAGGAGUGGUGAGAGAAGGCAUCCUUGCCCUGUGCCAGAUUUCAAAGGGAAUGCUUCCAGUUUUUGCCCAUUCCAUAUGAUAUUGGAAGUGGGUAUGUCAUAAAUAGCUUUUAUUAUUUUGUGAUAGGUUCCAUCAAUACCUAGUUUAUUGAGGGUUUUUAGCAUAAAAGGCUGUUGAAUUUUGUUGAAGGCCUUCUCUGCACCUGUUGAGAUAAUGUGGUUUUUGUCUUUGGUUCUGUUUAUAUGAUGGAUUACGUUUAUAGACUUACAUAUGUUGAACCAGCUUUGCAUCCCCAGGAUGAAGCCUACUUGAUCAUGAUGAACAAGCGUUUUGAUUUGCAGUUGCAUUCUGUUUGCCAGUGUUUUAUUGAAGAUUUUUGCAUCUAUGUUCAUCAUGGAUAUUGGCCUGAAAUUUCCUUUUAUAGUUGUGUCUAUUCCCAGUUUUGGCAUUAGGAUGAUGUUGGUCUCCUAAAAUGAGUUGGGGAGGAUUCCCUCUUUUUAUAUUGUUUGGAGUAGUUUCAGAAGGAAUGAUAUCAGCUCCUCCUUGUACAUCUGGUAGAAUUCUGCUGUAAACCCCUCUGGACCUGGGCUUUGUUUAGUCUGUAGGCUAUUAAUUGCUGCCUCAACAUCAGCCCUUGUUAUUGGUCUAUUCAGGGUUUUAACUUCUUCCUGGUUUAGUCUUAGGAGAAUGCAAGUGUCCAGGAAUUUAUCCAUUUCUUUCAGAUUUACUGGUUUGUGUGUAUAUAGUUGUUUGUAGUAAUCCCUGAUGGCAGCUUGCAUUUCUGUGGAAUCAGUGGUGAUGUCCCCUUUAUCAUUUUUUAUUGCAUCUAUUUGAUUCUUCUCUCUUUUCUUUUUUAUUAAUCUGGCUAAUGGUCUCUCUUUUCUGUUGAUCUUUUCAAAAAACCAGUUCUUGGAUUUGUUGAUUUUUUUGAAGAGUUUUUUUGUGUCUCUAUCUCCUUUAGUUCUGCUCUGAUCUUAGUUAUUUCUUGCCUUCUACUAGCUUUUGAGUUUUUUUGAUCUUGCUCUGUAGUAGUCACUUUUUUAAAAGAUAAAUUAUUAUUGCAAAGCCUGGAACACCUGGAUGCUACACUAGGAUUUGUGUGAAGAGAGUGAUGAUAUUGAACAUCUAGUCUGGGGCUAGAAUAUAAAGGACACAACUUGCUAUACUGAGGUUGAGCUCUGCUUUAUAGACAAUAAAAAAUUGGUGAAGGCUUUUAAAUCUAUAAAUUUAUGUGAUUGGAAUUGUAUUUUGGAAUGACAGUUCUGGGGAUAACAUAAGGGUGGCUUAGAGUUAUAACAUGAGUUGCAAAGCAUUAACACUGAUGGUUUAAAAAUACUCAUUUAAACAACAGAUGAGUUAAACUAAGGAGUUUGAAAAAGAAAUCAAUAUGUAAAAUAUGCAUAUUCCAGUGAUAUAAUACAUAUCAUAAAUACAGAUGGAAAUCAAAUAUAAUACUAAAGAUACAUACAGAUAUAACAUUAUGACUUACUAGAGCAAUAAAUGGGAAACAAUAAUGGAAAGAGGAAGGAGAAUCACUGGUAGACUGAUGAUAAUGUCAACAGCUAAGAAAUAGGACAAGAAGCUUAGGGUCAAAGAUAGGGAUUUCAUUAUACAUCUGUUGAAAAUCUGGGAUAACUAAGAUUACAUAUUCACUCAGCGAAUAUUUUUAUACUUUAGGCAUUUGAGUAGC